CCUACGGGAGGCAGCAGUGGGGAAUAUUGCACAAUGGGCGCAAGCCUGAUGCAGCCAUGCCGCGUGUGUGAAGAAGGCCUUCGGGUUGUAAAGCACUUUCAGCGGGGAGGAAGGCGUUAAGGUUAAUAACCUUGUCGAUUGACGCUACCCGCAGAAGAAGCACCGGCUAACUCCGUGCCAGCAGCCGCGGUAAUACGGAGGGUGCAAGCGUUAAUCGGAAUUACUGGGCGUAAAGCGCACGCAGGCGGUCUGUCAAGUCGGAUGUGAAAUCCCCGGGCUCAACCUGGGAACUGCAUUCGAAACUGGCAGGCUAGAGUCUUGUAGAGGGGGGUAGAAUUCCAGGUGUAGCGGUGAAAUACGUAGAGAUCUGGAGGAAUACCGGUGGCGAAGGCGGCCCCCUGGACAAAGACUGACGCUCAGGUGCGAAAGCGUGGGGAGCAAACAGGAUUAGAUACCCUUGUAGUC
rnacentral:rRNA from 1 species